UACGGAGGGUGCAAGCGUUGUCCGGAAUCACUGGGUGUAAAGGGUGUGUAGGCGGAUUAGUAAGUCAGAGGUGAAAUCCCACAGCUUAACUGUGGAACUGCCUUUGAUACUGCUAAUCUUGAGUUUCGGAGAGGUCACCAGAAUUCGUGGUGUAGCGGUGAAAUGCGUAGAUAUCACGAGGAAUACCAGAGGCGUAGGCGGGUGACUGGACGAAUACUGACGCUGAGGCACGAAAGCGUGGGGAGCAAACAGG
rnacentral:rRNA from 1 species